ACAAGUGGAUGGAGCACAACAGCUGCCCAAGAUCAAUCAGGCGGCGGCGGCGGGGAGCGCGCCGAGGGCUGCCGGAGCUUCCCCGCCUGGGCGCGGGGAUCAGCCCCGGCCCCCGCCCGCCUUUCCUCUCCUCUCCUCAGCGCUUCUGGAUCCAAGCAGAAUGCGGCUACUGUCAUUCCACUGGGGCUUGUGGCUGACCUGUGCACUCCAUGACCCCCAGAGCCAGUCAGACUGGAGAGGAAGAUGCAUGUGCACCAGGAGAAAGAGGAGUUUGAAGGGACAUCAAAGCCAGCAGCAUCCUGAAUUGAGUAUGCUGUGUCCUGCAGGGCAAGGCUGCCCAGGCAAAAUCAAAGUUGGAGUGAGAACCAGUUACAGUCAAUCAUCAUUAUUGACUCCAAGGUGAACACAGGCCGACAACGCGAG